UCUUCAACUAAUCAAGAAGAACAACAACUAAGAAGUUAUUGUAACCAACUCUCAACAAACAUGAGAGCAAAAAAAACAAGAACCAAACAAGUGGUGCCAACUAAUUGACACCACUCCUAUGUGCCGUCCACCCCUUUUUGGCUCCUAAAGAGGAUGCCAAGAGAGGGAAGGGGCAUGGGCUAGAGAGAGGAAGAGGAGGGAGGCAUGGGCCUAGUGAAGUUGGC
rnacentral:lncRNA from 1 species